UACGAAGGGUGCAAGCGUUACUCGGAAUUACUGGCUUAAAGCGUGUGUAGGCGGAUUUGUAAGUACCUUGUGAAAUCCCACGGCUCAACCGUGGAACUGCUCGGUAUACGUGCUUAUCUUGAGCCACUUAGGGGCUACCGGAACAAUGGUGGAGCGGUGAAAUGCGUAGAUAUCAUUGGAACGCCAAUGGUGAAAACAGGUAGCUGGGAGUGUGCUGACGCUGAGACACGAAAGCCAGGGAGCGAACGGG
rnacentral:rRNA from 1 species